AGGAGUAUAGUUCAAAUGGUAGAACAUUUGUUUUACAAGCAAAUAGUUGGAGGUUCAAGUCCUUUUACUUCUA
rnacentral:tRNA from 1 species